rnacentral:ribozyme from 1 species
AGCCUGGACUGAUACAUGCAUGGAAUGAACCCGUGUUACAAGCAAGCAAGCGAAGCAACAAAAAGGAAUACAGAAAUAAGUAAGAAGAAUAAAAAAAUAUAUGUGUACCUUUACUUUU